rnacentral:lncRNA from 1 species
CCGCACCAGUCCCGGUCUUGCGGUCUUUUUGUGAAGGACCGGCCCACCCCCACGGUCCCAGUUCUAACAUUAAGGCCCGUUUAGGACCAGAAGCCCACAUAGUCCGUGGUCCCGGGCCUGGACCAGUGCACAUGCCACCCUUAGAAAAAAACACACCUUUCCCUAGUCAGAAGCUCUUUGUGAAGCAACUUGGCCGAAUUUUAAAAUUCUACAACCUCCCAAUUUUGUAAGUUCCUCCUAAAACUCAAAUCCCAAUACACCCGAUUGAUGGGCAUUUCCUUUUGGCAUGGGAUUCUAUACAUGUUUGGAAAUGUGAUUCACAAAAUGUUGUCCCCGCACCACUUAUAUUCCCAAAAACUUACCCUACUCUCAUUACCCACUCUGAAUGAUGUGUUUCCAUUAAACUCUCCCCAACCCUUGAAUAUAUUUCUCUAUAGCCCGCACACAUUAAGUGAUACAUUUGUUGUUCUCCAACCAUCUUCGAAAACCCUAUACUUCUCCGCAAUCACCUCCUUUCAAAAAGCAUUCUCCUCUAUUCCGAAUCUCUAUAACCAGUUUCUCAGUAUAUAUUUGUUGUUCUCCAACCAUCUUCGAAAACCCCAUACUUCUCCGCAAUCACCUCCUUUCAAAAAACAUUCUCCUCUAUUCCGAAUCUCUAUAACCAGUUUCUCAGUAAUGCCUUGUUAAAAACGUUUGAUCUUUAAUCCAAUUCCACCCCAACACUUCGGUGUGGUGACAGUCUCCCAAUUUACCAAGUUAAACUUUCCCCAUUUGAACCAUCUCAUAGAAAAUCUCUCUACAUCUUUUCCAAACUUCCUUGUAACACUAACUGGAGCGUGUAACAAGGACCUGAAUUAUAUGGGGAUAACUCGAUUUUGCACUUCUGAUCAAUACUUCCUUCCUCUUCUGGAUAAGUACCUUUUUGCCGAACCUGCUAGCCUCUUUUAUACCCUUUCAAUUACCAGGUCCCAAACAGUUUGGUCCCUGUAGAAGCUCUUAAUGGUAAACCAAGAAAAGUUGUAGGAAGUGCCCUGACCUUGCAAUUGAAAACUUGUGCUAGGCCCUCAAUAUUGCCCAGGGAAACCUUCUAAUUGAAUGUAUUCUUUAUGUUGCUAAGCUCUUGCAGUCAUCUUUUAGGGCUUAUCAAAGCAAAGCAAGAUCAUACUUAUAUAUAGGG